GCAGUGGUAACUCAGCGGUAGAGUGUGAGAUUGCAAGGUUGCCUAGGCAUCUAUAGCAUUUAUCUUGAAGUCCCGUGUUCGAUCCACGGUCACUGCU
rfam:Penicillium flavigenum strain IBT 14082 PENFLA_contig017, whole genome shotgun sequence.